rnacentral:rRNA from 1 species
CCUACGGGUGGCUGCAGUGGGGAAUAUUGGACAAUGGGGGGAACCCUGAUCCAGCCAUGCCGCGUGUGUGAAGAAGGCCCUCGGGUUGUAAAGCACUUUCAGUGAGGAAGAACGCCUGGUGGUUAAUACCCAUCAGGAAAGACAUCACUCACAGAAGAAGCACCGGCUAACUCCGUGCCAGCAGCCGCGGUAAUACGGAGGGUGCGAGCGUUAAUCGGAAUUACUGGGCGUAAAGCGCGCGUAGGUGGCUUGAUAAGCCGGUUGUGAAAGCCCCGGGCUCAACCUGGGAACGGCAUCCGGAACUGUCAAGCUAGAGUGCAGGAGAGGAAGGUAGAAUUCCCGGUGUAGCGGUGAAAUGCGUAGAGAUCGGGAGGAAUACCAGUGGCGAAGGCGGCCUUCUGGACUGACACUGACACUGAGGUGCGAAAGCGUGGGUAGCGAACAGGAUUAGAUACCCGUGUAGUC